rnacentral:tRNA from 1 species
AGGAGCGUAGCUCAAUUGGUAGAGUUCUGGUCUCCAAAACCAGCGGUUAGGGGUUCGAUUCCCUUCGCUCCUGCCA